rnacentral:rRNA from 1 species
GACGAACGCUGGCGGCGUGCUUAACACAUGCAAGUCGAACGAGAGCGUAGAGAAAGCUUGCUUUUUCUACAAUCUAGUGGCAAACGGGUGAGUAACGCGUAAACAACCUGCCCUACGGAUGGGGACAACAGCUGGAAGCGGCUGCUAAUACCGAAUACGUUCCGAAAGUCGCAUGACUAUCGGAAGAAAGGAUGGCCUCUAUUUAUAAGCUAUCGCCGGAGGAGGGGUUUGCGUCUGAUUAGCUAGUUGGAGGGGUAACGGCCCACCAAGGCGACGAUCAGUAGCCGGUCUGAGAGGAUGAACGGCCACAUUGGAACUGAGACACGGUCCAGACUCCUACGGGAGGCAGCAGUGGGGAAUCUUCCGCAAUGGGCGAAAGCCUGACGGAGCAACGCCGCGUGAGUGAAGACGGCCUUCGGGUUGUAAAGCUCUGUUAUACGGGACGAAUAAUCUUGUGGUUAAUACCCAGGAGAAGUGACGGUACCGUAAGAGAAAGCCACGGCUAACUACGUG